GAUGAACGCUGGCGGCGUGCUUAACACAUGCAAGUCGAACGAAGCACUUUACUACGAUUUCUUCGGAAUGACGGUUUUGUGACUGAGUGGCGGACGGGUGAGUAACGCGUGGAUAACCUGCCUCAUACAGGGGGAUAACAGCCGGAAACGGCUGCUAAUACCGCAUAAGCGCACGGUACCGCAUGGUACAGUGUGAAAAACUCCGGUGGUAUGGGAUGGAUCCGCGUCUGAUUAGCCAGUUGGCGGGGUAACGGCCCACCAAAGCGACGAUCAGUAGCCGACCUGAGAGGGCGACCGGCCACAUUGGGACUGAGACACGGCCCAAACUCCUACGGGAGGCAGCAGUGGGGAAUAUUGCACAAUGGGGGAAACCCUGAUGCAGCGACGCCGCGUGAGCGAAGAAGUAUUUCGGUAUGUAAAGCUCUAUCAGCAGGGAAGAAGAAAUGACGGUACCUGACUAAGAAGCCCCGGCUAACUACGUGCCAGCAGCCGCGGU
rnacentral:rRNA from 1 species